UUCUUUUCCUGCUUACCCCUUUUGUUGUUUGUUUCUUUUUCUCCAGAUUCCAACUUUCUCGAAUAUCCGUUUUUUUCUCUCUUGAAAGUACUCUCUGCAGUUUGUUUGUUUGAUUCUGCCAAAUUGGUGUUGGAUGAAUCUGCAUAGAUUGGAGAAUGGGAUUGGUCUUGUUGGUCUGGAAUUUCACUUAAAAUUUGCAACUGUGCUUCAGAAAAAGUUGAUAUCUUUUCUCCUGAUGAUUUUGGUACUGAAGUUUUUCUUUGGUUGAAGUUCUACUUCUGCCCAGGUUUUUCAGCUUUCAGGUUCUAUAUUAUGGCUUCUAGUGGCCAAGCAAUUAACUCUUAUCAGAGGAAUAGAAAAAGAAUGAAAUUAAUUGAACUUUGAAUUCGUUAUGUAGUCAUAUUACAUGUUCUGUGUCCUUUUUAAGAAAAGACCAUUCUUUACUUUCUUGACGACUUUUAUAGCUUCCAUUUGACAAUACUUCCAAAUGUGUUCUUUCCAAAUAUGAAUUAUACUAUGAUUAAUGGAGACUCUUGAACAGUAUGAUUUGACUUUUUGACUAACAUUGAACUUGGUAAAAUGAAAAGGUUGAAUAAUUUAAAAAUGAGAUUAUUCAGGAAUACACACUGAAUGCUAAGAUUACACACAUAGGCAGGGGAUAGGCCUUCAAUUCAAAUCACGAGAUUCUAAUAGCUUAUAUAAGAGAAGGGUCCCACGUCCCCUAUGUUUCAUUCUAUUGUGGAAGCUUAUUUUCUUCCGGAUGAUUAGAGAGAUUUUUUUUGGGAAAGCAUUGAAAUCAAUAGGCCAGGGAGAAGGAAUGAAUAGGAGUACUAUUCUGUUGCCGAAAAGAGCUUCUUAGCCAACACUCACUAAGAUAGAUUGCUGGAGGUUCCAUUUUUUUGUUAAUGGGAGUUCUGGGUAUCGGUUUAUUCUUGUUCUUUCCUUUUAUCUUUUUCCUUGUUUAUUUUUUCCCUUUGAAAAUAUUUUUCACUUACCUGUCUGGUUCACUUAUUCAUCUGCCAUAGUUAUGAUAAGCCAUUUGCAAAAUACAUAGGCUUAUGAAACUGAAAGCGUAGUAAACAAAAGGCAUGAAUACAGUUGGCACAUGCCUGUUCAAAUCAUUAGCAUGAACAUGAGAAGGACAUAGAUCGUAGAUCAUGCUUUGUUAGUAUAUUUAUUUUUAUAUAAUAUAUAAUGAUAUUAAUUCAUUUGGUCAAUUUAUUUUAUUUAAAAAAAAAGUUAUAUGGAACUUGAUAAACAAAACACUGUCUAAUCUACACGAGACCUUACAUAAUGGAGGUUCAUGUUAAAAGUGAAACUAAAGUAUUUACAUGCAAUUAUAUGCUUAUAUAAUGAGUCCAUAUAAACUAGAAAGUUCCAUUUCAAACAUUAUUUACUGAAUUCUCCAGAUUUUAUCAUCUGCGACAAUGUAAUAAGGUUCUCCAUCCAUUAGUUUUACUUCACUUAAUCACAGCCUUGUCUAAUUUUUCUCAUUCUAAUUAUAUCAUGUGUGUUUCCCGUCUUGAUUUUGGAUGCAUAGAAGGUUAUAGAUGUGGAUAUAUUACCCAGGAAGUGUGUCAUCCAUGCUGCAUAUGCUUCCUCUAGAACCAAUUGUGGCCACUAAUACAUCAUAAAUUAUUCAUAAAUCAUAGUCAUGCAUGGCUGUGUGCAACUUAAUUUUAUUUCUUUUGAAGCAUGAUGUGUAACUAGUAAUCUAGUGCGUAGUCCUACUCCUUGAUUACUUGCUUUCAGACCGGAUGGUGCACAUCUGGCAUUAGGGUAGUUUGGAGUGAAGUGGGUUAAAAAGCAAACUUGAGAACUUGCCAACUAGGAGAUUUCAUAAAUGGAGGAUGAAGCCACCAUUUUAGCUUUUCGUUCUGAAUCUGAUGAUAAACCUAUUUUCCAUCCAGUAUUUGAUUAUUUGUUAUAUAGAGCAUGUAAGCAUUUCCUGCACACUUUAAGUUCUCCCUCUGCACAUAACUCCUUAAUUUUUGUUUUUUAACACUGCUGUUCUCGAAAUAUAUUAUUGGACUUCAGUAAUGUGAGUUGUGACUAGACAUUGAAACUAAAGACAUGGCUUACAGUUUGUUUGAGUUAUCUAUAACAUUUCUCAAUUCUGGGAUAAUACCUCAAUACUUGAUGUGUUACUAAGUUAGGCCAGGCUUGUAUUGAUUGUUGGAAGUAUUUUCUGUCUUCUAAACCAGAAACAAAUUUCUGGUGAAGAAAAAUGCAUGUUUUAGCUGUUCUCAGUGUUGUGAUAGAUAUUCUCCAGGAAAUUAUAAAGAGAGAAGGAAGUUCUGAAGUAGAAUAGUUCAUCCCCUUUUUGUCUACAGUAACCUGCUUUUUAGACGUUCCAUUUUUUCCAUCACCAUCUUUAGCCAGCCAUUACCACUUUCUCCCCUAUCAAGGAGCUGAUUUACUGUGCAAAUUAACCCUUACAGGCUGCCAUUGUGUGGCAGCAGACAACCACCUCAAGCUCCAUUGCCCCUUCAUACUAGACAUCCCAGCAAGCCCUCUUUUGAUCCAUUUGGAGCUGCAUCUUCACGUGUCAGUUCACGUAAAUACAAAUUAAUGCUGAAUGAUUCGAAUUCUGGAAUUUGAGGGUAGAUAAUUUGACCUCUUCAGCUAUAGACAUUAUUGAGUACAUUGUUGCCCUCUUCUAGAUUGUAAGGCUUAAGAUUAGGAUUUUGGGAAUUAGGCAACUCCUCCAUCUAAUCUUAUUAUUCUUCUUUUGUUUAACAAAUAUUGGUGUUUUGGCUGAACUCUUUUCCCUUUUUUCUCCUGGUGCCUCAAAAAAAAAAAAAAAAAAAAAAAAGGAUUUUUGAAAUCUGGUUUGUGGGGGUUGUAAAUAGAGCUGGCUUGUGGAAUU